ensembl:ribozyme RNaseP_nuc Nuclear RNase P
UGCGGAGGAAGCUCAUCAGCGGGGCCCCGGCCCCUGAGAAGGUCUGAGACUGGGGCCUCCCGUGGCCCUAAUGGGGCCCUCACCAAGCGGGUAGGUGAGUUCCCAGAAAGCAGGGCUCCACGAGUGGGCAGACUGAGCAGGAGAGGCCCCCGAGUGGGCGGAUGCCUCCCUCGCCCGAGCUUGGAAAAGACUCACGGCCAGCGCAGAGUGAGUUCAAUGGCUGAGGUGAGGUUCCUCGAGGACCUCAUAACCCAAUUCAGACUACUCUCCCCUGCC